GGCAUUCGCAUUUGGAAGCUGUCGCAAUGAAUCCACAACAUGCGGUCAAAGGAGCUCUCAGUGCAAGUGAAACAGGCCAUCUUUUGGCUGCAAAAAAACCCCCCAAAAAACAAUCCACCAGAGAGAUCGCAGGAACAUAAAUUUGGUAAAUUUUGAGAGAAAAAAUGCACGGGUGACCUCUGUAAACAUAAAAGGCCUGAACGUCCAUGGAAAACAGUGGUUGAUGAUUGUAGGAUGCUUUCCACAGUAAAGAAAAAAAUCCCUUAACAUCCAGCCUAGUGAAGAACACUCUCCAGGAGGCAGGUAUAUAGUCAUCCAAGUCUACCAUAAAGAGAAUACUUAAUGAGAGCAAAUACAGAAGGUUCACCACUAUUUGCAAAGCAUUCAUAAGCCUCAAGAAUAGAAAGACUAAACUUUGCCAAAAACCAUCUAAAAAUGCCAGCCCAGUUCUGGAACAGCGUUCUUUGGACAAAUGAAAC